CUCCACCAAAAUUCCAAUUCGGUUCAGCCAUGAAGAACAAUGAAGAUGGAAUCUGCAGGAGUGAUUUUGCCGUGAAGCUAUGGUCCUUCGUUCUCUCUUCCUCGCCGCUGGUCUCUUCAAUUCACGCCACCUCCAGCUCGUGAGUUCCUCCCGCCGCUUGCGUCUUGCCUUCCUGAAUGAUAGGUU